rnacentral:rRNA from 1 species
CACGCUAUGGGAGCGGCCGAUGUCCGAUUAGCUAGUUGGUGGGGUAAAGGCCCACCAAGGCGACGAUCGGUAGCUGGUCUGAGAGGAUGAUCAGCCACACUGGGACUGAGACACGGCCCAGACUCCUACGGGAGGCAGCAGUGGGGAAUUUUGGACAAUGGGGGCAACCCUGAUCCAGCCAUGCCGCGUGCGGGAAGAAGGCCUUCGGGUUGUAAACCGCUUUUGUCUGGGAAGAAAAGGCGUCUCCUAAUACGGGGCGUUCUUGACGGUACCGGAAGAAUAAGCACCGGCUAACUACGUGCCAGCAGCCGCGGUAAUACGUAGGGUGCGAGCGUUAAUCGGAAUUACUGGGCGUAAAGCGUGCGCAGGCGGUGAGUUAAGUCUGAUGUGAAAGCCCCGGGCUCAACCUGGGAACGGCAUUGGAAACUGGCUCGCUGGAGUGUGGCAGAGGGGGGUGGAAUUCCGCGUGUAGCAGUGAAAUGCGUAGAGAUGCGGAGGAACACCGAUGGCGAAGGCAGCCCCCUGGGCCAACACUGACGCUCAGGCACGAAAGCGUGGGGAGCAAACAGGAUUAGAU